rnacentral:misc_RNA from 1 species
AAAUUGAAUAGCAACAGUAUAUUAAACACUUUGGUUAAACCAAUCACAUCCUCUUGUUAAUGAAACCACAAGUUUCUGUUAAGAGAAAAAACAUACAUAUAUAUAUAUCUCGGCUCGGGCUGUUGGCGUGGCAGCUGGGGCAACUAAAAGUAGAUUUUCAUCCAAGUCCUCCAAAUUCUACACUUAGAUCAAAGUACGCUCAACCCUAUUCUAUAAGGCAUCAGUAGACAUAAAUUCUCAAGAUCAGAUGACCCUAUGCAUAUAAUUUUACCAAGUCCAACGACCACGAAAACAACUUCAAACCAAAAGAUGAUGUGACCAACAUGGCAACUGCGAAUUUACAAAGUGACCAACAAUAUAAAUAAUA